AACGAACGCUGGCGGCAUGCCUAACACAUGCAAGUCGAACGAGACCUUCGGGUCUAGUGGCGCACGGGUGCGUAACGCGUGGGAACCUGCCCUUAGGUUCGGAAUAACUCCCCGAAAGGGGUGCUAAUACCGGAUAAUGUCUUCGGACCAAAGAUUUAUCGCCUUUGGAUGGGCCCGCGUUGGAUUAGCUAGUUGGUAGGGUAAAAGCCUACCAAGGCGACGAUCCAUAGCUGGUCUGAGAGGAUGAUCAGCCACACUGGGACUGAGACACGGCCCAGACCCCCACGGGGGGGAGGAGGGGGGAAUAUUGGAAAAUGGGGGAAAGGCUGGACCCGCAAUGGCCGGGGAGGUGAUAAAGGCUUAGGGGUGGAAAGGCUUUUUUCCCGGGGAUAAAAAGAAAGGACCCGGGGAAAAAGGCCCCGCUAACUCCGGG
rnacentral:rRNA from 1 species